rnacentral:tRNA from 1 species
GGGGCUGUAGCUCAGUGGUAGAGCACUUGCCUUGCAGGUGUGAAGCACUGGGUUCAAUCCUCAGCACCA